rnacentral:lncRNA from 1 species
CAAACUAAAACAUUAAUAAAAAAAAAGGUAAAUUCGCUUCAACUUUAUUUUCAUGCAAAGGUACAAAAGCACAAAUGAUAUUAAACAUUUGUGGAAUUUCAGAAAUGGGUUAUUAAAAAAAGAAGUGAAGCUAGGCUAGUUUGACCUUUUUUAUUUCUUGUUUCGAUAGCGUUGCUUUACAAAUAUUUAGGCAUGAUAAUUUCAAUUUGAACAUAGAACUUAAAAUACAUUAAUAAACCUUUGAUCCAAUUUAUUUAUUAAUACCAAUAAGGAAUAAUAAGUUUCUGCGUUUCGAAGUGGUAUUCUCUGGUCUUGUGGAUGAUCGACACUUGUAAAUGUGUUUGGGAUAUUUUGCUAUAUAUUUAUUAAGUAUAUUAUAGUGUGUACCAAUAUAACUUGACAGUACACUGUGCUAUUAAUUCAAGUUGUUCAAUAACACACAAAAAACACUAUUGGUGUCAAUAUGAUAAUAACUAUAACUGAAAACUGAUUUAAUAUUUAUAAAUACUUAUAAAAAAC